AAAUAGAUGAGUUUGGUGAUGGCUCUGAUUGAAUGCUGUCCAAGUGCUUGACACAUGCUAAUCGUACGUUUUAAUUAAUCAUAAUUAAAAAGUGGUGUACAGGUGAGUAUAACGAUAUUCUUAGCCGACCUUAAAGUGAAGGUAAAUCCUUCAUAAUAAAUAAAGGAAAAUUUUUCUGCUUUAAGAGGACAAUAAAUAUCUUCGAGAUAGGUAGUAGUUAAGGUGAUGGCUUAACUAGCCAAAACUCUCGUAGUCGAAUCUGAAAGGUUGAUCGACCACAUUGGGUCUGAAAAAACCCCAAUGCAAGUUAGUACAGCAGUGAGGAAUCUUGGUCAAUGGCCUAACGGCUGAACUGGCAACUUGGAGAAGUGGUAAGUCUUAUUUUGAUUAUAUCUAACGCUAUAAAGCGUAAUGAAUAUAAUCUAAAAGAUUGUAUUAAAAUUGAAUAAAACUUUGUUUACAUAUUGAUAAUGACAAUAUGUAUAUUAUGUCUUGACUAAUUACGUGCCAGCAGUCGCGGUAAUACGUAAGAGACUAGUGUUAUUCAUCUUAAUUAGGUUUAAAGGGUACCUAGACGGUCAAUAUAGCUUCUAGAAUGUUAGUACUUGACUAGAGUUUGAUAUAAGAGGGCAGUACUUGAGGAGGAGAGAUGAAAUUUUAUGAUACCAAAGGGACUCGGUAAAGGCGAAGGCAGCUCUUUAUGUAAAAACUGACGUUGAAGGACGAAGGCACAGAACACAAACAGGAUUAGAUACCCAAGUAGUCUUUGCAGUAAAUGAUGAAUGCCAUAAGUUAGAUUAAGCUUUAAUAAUAAAGUUUAUCAGUAAAGAACAUAUUAUUAAAUAAUAUUUAGUUUAUAAAUGAAAGUGUAAGCAUUCCACCUCAAGAGUAAUGUGGCAACGCAGGAACUGAAAUCACUAGACCGUUUCUGACACCAGUAGUGAAGUAUGUUGUUUAAUUCGUAAAUACACGAAAAACCUUACCAUAACUUGAAUAAUUUUACAGGAGUUGCACGGCUGUUUUCAGUUAAUGUUGUGAAACUAUGGUUUCCAUGUAAUUAACGUAAUCCCUGGCUUUAUUUUUUAUUAUUUACUAUAAAGCAUUUGAUCCUAUAUUUAGGAAAGAAAAAGGGGACAAAGACAAGUCAUCAUGGCCUUGAUGUUAUGGGCUAUAGACGUGCCACAUAUACCUAAACAAAGAGAUGCAAAAAUGUGAAUUUGAGCUAAUCUCUAAAAUAGGUUAUAAAUUUAAAGGAUUGUAGUCUGAAACUCGACUACAUGAAUAAGUAAUUACUAGUAAUCGUGAAUCACCAUGUCACGGUGAAUUAACCUUGGAUUGGUACUAACCACUCGUCACAUGCUGAAAGGAGCAUGCGCAAUAAGUUUGCUUUUUUAAUAAUUAGUAAAAAAAACAUAAAGGGUUUUAUAUAAUCUAUUAUUAAGAAUCUUCGUAUGCGUGGCUCUAAUUAGUGUUAAGUCGAAAUACGGUUCGCGUAGUGGAAGUUGCGCGGGGUUUAUUAAUUUU
rnacentral:rRNA from 1 species